AAUAGUUACAUAACAAAACUAUUCGCCAGAGUACUACUCGCAACUGCCUAAAACUCAAAGGACUUGGCGGUGCUUCACAUCCACCUAGAGGAGCCUGUUCUAUAAUCGAUAAACCCCGAUAGACCUUACCAACCCUUGCCAAUUCAGCCUAUAUACCGCCAUCUUCAGCAAACCAAU
rnacentral:rRNA from 1 species